rnacentral:misc_RNA from 1 species
UGUUCACGUAGAGUUAGUCUAUCCCAGCCGAUUGUACCGCGAUUGCUGAAUACACGUUGCACGAAAAUAUGUAAUCUGAUACUUAACACUUUACUGGCCGCUAGUGAUUCAACAGCAUACGCACGUCCGACCGGCAGUUCAGACGCAGAUUCUCCCUGGCGCCGGCUCUGUUUCGGUUUAGACUCUCCAAUACCAUUCUUUUCGUUCAUCGCGAAUGGUAAGUUUCUCAAAUUGGUAUAAAACUGUGGAAACUUACAAAGCAACGCAACUGAGCAAAGUACCUUAGUACUAAAUAACAAAUUACUGCUCAAAUAAUAAGAAAGAUUGUUGGCGAUAAAAAGCCGUUUAA